rnacentral:rRNA from 1 species
GGAUGAACGCUGGCGGCGUGCCUAAUACAUGCAAGUCGAGCGAACGGACGAGAAGCUUGCUUCUCUGAUGUUAGCGGCGGACGGGUGAGUAACACGUGGAUAACCUACCUAUAAGACUGGGAUAACUUCGGGAAACCGGAGCUAAUACCGGAUAAUAUUUUGAACCGCAUGGUUCAAAAGUGAAAGACGGUCUUGCUGUCACUUAUAGAUGGAUCCGCGCUGCAUUAGCUAGUUGGUAAGGUAACGGCUUACCAAGGCAACGAUGCAUAGCCGACCUGAGAGGGUGAUCGGCCACACUGGAACUGAGACACGGUCCAGACUCCUACGGGAGGCAGCAGUAGGGAAUCUUCCGCAAUGGGCGAAAGCCUGACGGAGCAACGCCGCGUGAGUGAUGAAGGUCUUCGGAUCGUAAAACUCUGUUAUUAGGGAAGAACAUAUGUGUAAGUAACUGUGCACAUCUUGACGGUACCUAAUCAGAAAGCCACGGCUAACUACGG